AUUGAACGCUGGCGGCAGGCCUAACACAUGCAAGUCGAACGAGUGGCGGACGGGUGAGUAAUGUCUGGGCAACUGCGUGAUGUAGGCGGAAAACUACUGGAAACGGUAGCUAAUACCGCAUACCAUCAGAUGUGCCCAGAUGGGUUUAGCUAGUUGGUGGGGUAACGGCUCCCCAAGGCGACGCUCCCUAGCUGGGCUGAGAGGAUGACCAGCCACACUGGGACUGAGACACGGUCCAGACUCCUACGGGAGGCAGCAGUGGGGAAUAUUGGACAAUGGGCGCAAGCCUGAUGCAGCCAUGCCGCGUGUAUGAAGAAGGCCUUCGGGUUGUAAAGUACUUUCAGCGGGGAGGCGUUACCCGCAGAAGAAGCACCGGCUAACUCCGUGCCAGCAGCCGCGGUAAUUC
rnacentral:rRNA from 1 species